rnacentral:rRNA from 1 species
ACGUCACGCGUAAGCGUGAGGGGGUAUCCCGAGUGCCGUUGGUCUUUGAUGGGCCGUCUUUUCAGGAGCGAAAAAGGUUCUUGAAUAAAGGGUGGGUCAGGAGUGGGGCCCCGCGCCGAGAAAUAAGAACCUAAAUGC